rnacentral:RNase_P_RNA from 1 species
AGUCGGUCAGGCAAUCGCUGGUUUAUUGAAGCCCCUAAGUGCCGUAAGGCGAGCUGGUGGGACAAGUAAACCGGAGGAAAGUCCGGGCUACACAGGGCAGAGUGCCGGGUAACGCCCGGGAGGCGCGAGCCUACGACCAGUGCAACAGAGAGUAGACCGCCGUUUUUCACAAAACGGUAAGGGUGAAAGGGUGUGGUAAGAGCGCACCGCGUGAGUGGUAACACUUCACGGCAUGGUAAACUCCACUUGUAGCAAGACCAAAUAGGAACUCAAUGGGUGUGCCCACUCAGAGUUCGGGUAGGUUGCUUGAGCGGCGGAGUAAUCCGUCGCCUAGAUGAAUGAUUGUCCACGACAGAACCCGGCUUAUCGACCGACUCAA